AAACAAUCUUGGUAUAGCAUCUCAAAUUUUAAUUCUUUCAACACCUUUUAUGUUUUUUUUUCAAUAAUUUGUGCUAUUUUAAUCAAUCGAUGGCAUGUAUAUUCAAUUAUGCUUUCCGGAGGAUGUGGAAAAUGGAUAGAGCGCUGGAGUGUUGAGAAAUGACGGAUGUGUACGAUUAGGCCAGCGCCUACCGGUUUAAACAAUUAUCAACUUCGAAGCGGAAACUCAUCAAACAAUUUUUUUCGAGACUAGGCCGUUCCUCGGUGGGUACAUCGGUUGGAGAUCAUCAAUGAACACUUCGGGUCUGGACGAAUCAAGCUUAAAUAUUAUUUCCGAAAAAG